rnacentral:rRNA from 1 species
UACGUAGGGUGCGAGCGUUGUCCGGAAUUAUUGGGCGUAAAGAGCUCGUAGGCGGUUUGUCGCGUCGGCCGUGAAAUCUCCACGCUUAACGUGGAGCGUGCGGUCGAUACGGGCAGACUUGAGUUCGGUAGGGGAGACUGGAAUUCCUGGUGUAGCGGUGAAAUGCGCAGAUAUCAGGAGGAACACCGAUGGCGAAGGCAGGUCUCUGGGCCGCAACUGACGCUGAGGAGCGAAAGCAUGGGGAGCGAACAGG